UUGCACGCUGGCGGCAGGCCUAACCCAUGCAAGUCGCGCGGAUGAAGGGAGCUUGCUCCUGGAUUCAGCGGCGGACGGGUGAGUAAUGCCUAGGAAUCUGCCUGGUAGUGGGGGAUAACGUCCGGAAACGGGCGCUAAUACCGCAUACGUCCUGAGGGAGAAAGUGGGGGAUCUUCGGACCUCACGCUAUCAGAUGAGCCUAGGUCGGAUUAGCUAGUUGGUGGGGUAAAGGCCUACCAAGGCGACGAUCCGUAACUGGCCUGAGAGGAUGAUCAGUCACACUGGAACUGAGACACGGUCCAGACUCCUACGGGAGGCAGCAGUGGGGAAUAUUGGACAAUGGGCGAAAGCCUGAUCCAGCCAUGCCGCGUGUGUGAAGAAGGUCUUCGGAUUGUAAAGCACUUUAAGUUGGGAGGAAGGGCAGUAAGUUAAUACCUUGCUGUUUUGACGUUACCAACAGAAUAAGCACCGGCUAACUUCGUG
rnacentral:rRNA from 1 species